rnacentral:rRNA from 1 species
CUAGCGACAGGCCUAACACAUGCAAGUCGAGGGCAGCACAAGGAGCAAUCUGAGGUGGCGACCGGCGCACGGGUGAGUAACACGUAUGCAACCUGCCUGUAAGCGGGGAAUAACCCGUUGAAAGACGGACUAAUACCGCAUAAUACUAAAUUACUGCAUGGUAAUUUAUUUAAACAUUUAUGGCUUACAGAUGGGCAUGCGCAUGAUUAGCUAGUUGGAGAGGUAACGGCUCCCCAAGGCAACGAUCAUUAGGGGUUCUGAGAGGAAGGUCCCCCACACUGGUACUGAGACACGGACCAGACUCCUACGGGAGGCAGCAGUGAGGAAUAUUGGUCAAUGGACGAGAGUCUGAACCAGCCAAGUCGCGUGCAGGAAGAAUGUCCUAUGGAUUGUAAACUGCUUUUGCAGGGGAAUAAAGUGCAUCACGUGUGAUGUUUUGUAUGUACUCUGCGAAUAAGGAUCGGCUAACUCCGUGCCAGCAGCAGC